GAAAUGCGAUAAGUAAUGUGAAUUGCAGAAUUCAGUGAAUCAUCGAAUCUUUGAACGCACAUUGUGCUCGCCAGUAUUCUGGCGGGCAUGCCUGUCCGAGCGUCAUUUCAACCAUCAAGCCCCCGGGCUUGUGUUGGGGACCUGCGGCUGCCCGCAGGCCCUGAAAACCAGUGGCGGGCUCGCUGUCACACCGAGCGUAGUAGCAAUCACCUCGCUCAGGGCGUGCUGCGGGUUCCGGCCGUUAAACAGCCUUACAAAACCCAAGGUUGACCUCGGAUCAGGUAGGAAGACCCGCUGAACUUAAGC
rnacentral:misc_RNA from 1 species